GCAGGCAUUAGCUUGAAUACAUUAGCAUGGAAUAAUGAAAGUAGGACGUUUCGACCCUAUUUUGUUGGUUUUUAGGAUCGACGUAAUGAUUAAGUAGGGAUAGUUGGGGGCAUUAGUAUUCAAUUGUCAGAGGUGGAAUUCUUGGAUUUAUUGAAGACUAACUACUGCGAAAGCAUUUGCCAAGGAUGUUUUCAUUUAAUCAAGAACAAAGUUAGGGGAUCGAAGACGAUCAGAUACCGUCGUAGUCUUAACCAUAAACUAUGCCGACUAGGGAUCGGACGAUGUUAAUCUUUUAAUGACUCG
rnacentral:rRNA from 1 species